GAAUAUAUCAAACUUCAGCCUUCUUGCUGAGAGGAGCUGAAUGCUGCUUUAAUUUCCCAGCCGGGAGCUGGUAUUUCAGCAUGAACCAGGCAUAUUUAAUUGUUGUGUAAAUGUUAAGAUCACAAUGUAGGCCAUAUGGCAGUUUCUCUUUACAGAAGAAGAGAGACCUUCAAAUCAAACUGUUAAGUCUGAGAACCAUUUGAAGUCACAGUCAUUAAUUUGGAGA
rnacentral:lncRNA from 1 species